GCGGCCCGGGGCUGCAGGGGCAGGAGCCGCCUCCUCCCAGGGCCUGCCUGGGCGGCCGCCUCCGCUAUGCCGCUGCUAGCCGAGGGGCGGCGGGUGAGGCUGCAGCAGUCAGCCGGGAACCUCCUCCGAUCCCAUCCGCCUUUGGAGGAAAGAGCCAGACUUCUCAGAGGUCAGUGUGUUCAACAAGUGGGACCCCAGGGCCUUCUCUAUGUUCAGCAAACAGAGCUUGCAGUGACCUCCCCAAAGGAUGGCUCCAUCUCCAUUCUGGGUUCUGAUGAUGCCACUACUUGUCACAUUGUGGUCCUGAGGCACACAGGUAAUGGGGCCACCUGCUUGACACAUUGUGACGGAACCGACACCAAAGCUGAGGUCCCCUUGAUCAUGAACUCCAUAAAAUCCUUUUCUGACCACGCUCAAUGUGGAAGGCUGGAAGUGCACCUCGUUGGAGGCUUCAGUGACGACAGGCAGUUGUCACAAAAACUCACUCAUCAACUUCUUAGUGAAUUUGACAGGCAAGAAGAUGACAUUCACUUAGUGACAUUACGUGUGACAGAAUUAAAUGACCGGGAAGAAAACGAAAACCACUUUCCAAUAAUAUAUGGCAUUGCUGUCAACAUUAAGACUGCAGAGAUUUACAGAGCCUCCUUUCAAGAUCGGGGUCCGGAGGAGCAGCUGCGUGCUGCGCGAACUUUAGCAGGAGGACCAAUAGCAGACCCUAUGUUAGCUGAAAUGGGGAAAAACUUGAAGGAGGCCAUGAAGAUGCUGGAGGACAGUCAGAGAAGAACAGAAGAGGAAAAUGGAAAGGAGCUCAUAUCCGGAGAUAUUCCAGGCCCACUCCAGGGCAGGUAUGAUCUCGUGAAACCUUGAGAGAAACUGAAUGACGAAUGAAGCUUUAUUGUUCCUGUUUCACACAGAAGAAAACUGAGGUGGUGAAGCUCUCUAUUGUCCUGACCCCACAGUUCCUGUCCCAUGACCAGGGCCAGCUCACCAAGGAGCUGCAGCAGCACGUAAAGUCAGUGACAUGCCCAUGCCAGUACCUGAGGAAGGUGAGUGAGUGCAGACAGAUGGUGCCUGGUGCCCUUGAACAGUCAGUGACAUCCCCCAUGCGAGUACCUGAGGAAGGUGAGUGAGUGCAGACAGGUGGGGCCUGGUGCCCUUGAGCACUUCCUGGGUCUCAGCUGCCACACGUCUCAUAGCGGGCGUUGCUUGGGGAAGCUUACACAGUCACAGUACUGGCUUCUUCCUCUUUUUCCUUCCAUACAAGUGGCUUAGGGAUGGGAUAGAGUAGUUGACUUAUUUGGAUAAAAACCACUAUCUUCUGUCAGAAACUCAAAAGGAAUCAUUGCUGGCAUGUUAGCCUAAAGAAAAACAACCAGACAAGUGCCCAGUGAUACUUAAAAAUGUUAUUUAUUAUCUUGCCAAAUUUAGGCUGGGCAUGGUGGCUCAUGCCUGUAAUCCCAGCACUUUGGGAGGCUGAGGCAGGUGGAUCACCUGAGGCCAGGAGUUCGAGACCAGCCUGACCAACAUGGGAAAACCUCAUUCCUACUAAAAAUACAAAAAUUAGCCGGGCAUGGUGGUGUGAGCCUGUAGUCCCAGCUACUCAGGAGGCUGAGACAGGAGAAUUGCUUAGACUCAGGAGGUGGAGGUUGUAGUGAGCCGAGUUCAUGCCAUCGCACUCCAGACUGUGCGACAGAGCGAGACUCUGUCAAAAAAAAAAAAAAAAAAAAAAAAUUAUCCUGCAAAAUUUGAAAAGGAAAUCCAAAUCAACAGCUUCUAAACUAUUUUUUAACAUGACUCAUAAUAAGAAAUACAUUCUGUAUUUACAUAUAUAUGUUCUAUAUUUUUGAAGAAAAGAAUUAACCAAAUCAUAUUUAUUUUACAUAUAAUACAUAUUUUUUAUUUUCCUUCAUUUGUUUUGAAUGCUCUGUGCAAUCUACAAAAAGUCCAAUAGUAAUAAAUUAUUCAUUAAAUUGAACAUUAUCUUGUCUUUUGAAAUGAUAAUCUCAAAAAUGAUCUUUUAUUUUUGAGAUAUAUAUAUGUAUAUAUACACAUAUAUACAUAUAUAUACAUAUAUACAUAUAUAUACAUGUAUACAUAUACAUAUAUACAUAUAUAUAUACAUGUAUACAUAUAUAUAUAUUUUUAUUUGAGACAGAGUUUCACUCUCUCACCCAGGCUGGAGUGCAAUGGCACAAUCUUGGCUCACUGCAACCUCCAUCUCCUGGGUUCAAGCAAUUCUUCUGCUUCAGCCUCCGAGUAGCUGGGACUACAGAUGUGUGCCACCACGCCCGGCUAAUUUUUGUAUUUUUAGUAGAGAUGGGGUUUCACCAUAUUGGCCAGGCUGGUCUUAAACUCUGGACCUUGUGAUCUGCCCGCCUCAGCGUCCCAAAGUGCUGGGACUAUAGGUGUGAGCCACUGUGCCCGGUCCGAGAUAAAAUUAUUUUAACAAUAUGCUAUGAAGAGAAAAACACUGGCUAUGAAAGAAUAUACAUAGUUUUACCUUAUCUGUUUAAAAAUAAAUAUUGAAAAAAUACAUAUGCAAGUAAGCUUACUGUUUUUUUGGUAAUACUUUACUGCAUUGUCUGAAUAUUGACAGUCAGUAUGCAUAUGAAGCUACAUGGCUAACAUUGAGUAUUCACUGUGUGUGCCAGGCCCUGGAUUCAAUGCUCUACAUGCAUUUAUAUUUCGUUUAAUUCUCUCUGCAACCUGAGAUGGUAUAGCCACCCCAUUUUACAGAGUUGAAACUGAGGCUCAGAGAAUGAAAGUUAAGCAUGAGGUUGCAGUCAAUAAGAGGCAGAGCUGGAACUGAAACCUACGUGUGUCUGACCACCAAUUCAUGUUCUGACGGCAGGCCAGUCUGCUUCACAGAGUGUGGAGUAGACAGUGCAUGCCUGCUAGGAUGGGCUAGGUAUCACUGUAGGUAACAAACAGCCCCAAACAAUGGAAAUGUACAACACUGAAGGCUCUUUUCCUGCCCAUGCUGCAUGUCCUCCAUGGCUCUCCUGUGCCCUGUGCCCCACAUCCCCUCAUCCUGCCACGAGAAUAAAGGAGCAGCCUCCAUAUGGGAGCCAUCAGCUGCUCUAAGAGAUGAAGGAGAGGGUGGCCAGUCUCAAUGCCUCCCAACUCUUUUGUGUCGAGGUGACACGCUUCACUUCCACUCACAUCUCCUGGGUCAAAGCAAAUCCCAUGUGUACAUCCACUUUCAAGUGGCCCAGGAGAGAAGCUGAAAUACUCGGUGGAGUAUUUCAUUAAGGCCGUCAUAUGGUGUCAGCCUGCACGGGAGAC